GCUGGCGUAGCUCAAUGGCAGAGCAGCUGACUUGUAAUCAGCAGGUUGCGGGUUCAAGUCCCAUCGCCAGCUCCA
rnacentral:tRNA from 4 species